rnacentral:rRNA from 1 species
UACCAGCACCCCGAGUGGUCGGGACGUUUAUUGGGCCUAAAGCAUCCGUAGCCUGUUCUACAAGUCUUCCGUUAAAUCCACCUGCUUAACAGAUGGGCUGCGGAAGAUACUAUAGAGCUAGGAGGCGGGAGAGGCAAGCGGUACUCGAUGGGUAGGGGUAAAAUCCGUUGAUCCAUUGAAGACCACCAGUGGCGAAGGCGGCUUGCCAGAACGCGCUCGACGGUGAGGGAUGAAAGCUGGGGGAGCAAACCGG